GACGAACGCUGGCGGCGUGCCUAAUACAUGCAAGUAGAACGCUGAAGCGAGGAGCUUGCUCUUCUUGGAUGAGUUGCGAACGGGUGAGUAACGCGUAGGUAACCUGCCUUGUAGCGGGGGAUAACUAUUGGAAACGAUAGCUAAUACCGCAUAACAAUGGAUGACACAUGUCAUUUAUUUGAAAGGGGCAAUUGCUCCACUACAAGAUGGACCUGCGUUGUAUUAGCUAGUAGGUGAGGUAACGGCUCACCUAGGCGACGAUACAUAGCCGACCUGAGAGGGUGAGCGGCCACACUGGGACGGAGACACGGCCCAGACGCCUACGGGAGGCAGCAGUAGGGAAUCGUCGGCAAUGGGGGCAACCCUGACCGAGAAACGCCGCGUGAGUGAAGAAGGUUGUCGGAUCGUAAAGCUCUGUUGUAAGUCAAGAACGAGUGUGAGAGUGGAAAGUUCACACUGUGACGGUAGCUUACCAGAAAGGGACGGCUAACUACGUG
rnacentral:rRNA from 1 species